rnacentral:rRNA from 1 species
AUUGAACGCUGGCGGCAGGCCUAACACAUGCAAGUCGAACGAGUGGCGGACGGGUGAGUAAUGUCUGGGAAACUGCCUGAUGGAGGGGGAUAUCUACUGGAAACGGUAGCCAAUACCGUAUACCAUCAGACGCGCCUAGAUGGGAUUAGCUUGUUGGUGGGGUAACGGCUCACCAAGGAGACGAUCCCUCGCGGGUCUGAGAGGAUGACCAGCAAAACGGGACCGGAGACACGGUCCAGAGUCCUACGUGAGGCAGCAGUGGGGAAUAUUGCACAAUGGGCGCAAGCCUGAUGCAGCCAUGCCGCGUGUAUGAAGAAGGCCUUCGGGUUGUAAAGUACUUUCAGCGGGGAGGCGUUACCCGCAGAAGAAGCACCGGCUAACUCCGUGCCAGCAGCCGCGGUAAUUC